UACGUAGGGUGCAAGCGUUGUCCGGAAUUAUUGGGCGUAAAGAGCUCGUAGGCGGUUUGUCGCGUCUGCUGUGAAAACGCGAGGCUCAACCUCGCGCCUGCAGUGGGUACGGGCAGACUAGAGUGCGGUAGGGGGAGAUUGGAAUUCCUGGUGUAGCGGUGGAAUGCGCAGAUAUCAGGAGGAACACCGAUGGCGGAAGGCAGAUCUCUGGGCCGUAACUGACGCUGGAGGAGCGAAAGCGUGGGGAGCGAACAGG
rnacentral:rRNA from 1 species